rnacentral:rRNA from 1 species
UGGGGAAUAUUGCACAAUGGGCGAAAGCCUGAUGCAGCGACGCCGCGUGAGGGAUAACGGCCUUCGGGUUGUAAACCUCUUUCAGCAGGGAAGAAGCGAAAGUGACGGUACCUGCAGAAGAAGCACCGGCUAACUACGUGCCAGCAGCCGCGGUAAUACGUAGGGUGCGAGCGUUGUCCGGAAUUAUUGGGCGUAAAGAGCUUGUAGGCGGUUUGUCGCGUCUGCUGUGAAAAUCCGGGGCUCAACCCCGGACCUGCAGUGGGUACGGGCAGACUAGAGUAUGGUAGGGGAGACUGGAAUUCCUGGUGUAGCGGUGAAAUGCGCAGAUAUCAGGAGGAACACCGAUGGCGAAGGCAGGUCUCUGGGCCAUUACUGACGCUGAGAAGCGAAAGCGUGGGGAGCAAACA